UUCAUCUCUUUGAAGAAAUCUGACAAAAUUGGAACAAAAAAUAGAGGAUUAGCAAGGGUACUACAGAAGGAUGACAGACUCAAAUCGAGAAAAGUUUUAUAUAUUU